rnacentral:rRNA from 1 species
UACAGAGGCCCCAAGCGUUACUGAGAAUCACUGGGUUUAAAGGGUGCGUAGGUGGUCCGUUAAGUCAGUUGUGAAAUCCCCGGGCUCAACCCGGGAACUGCUUCUGAUACUGGCGGACUUGAGGCCGGUAGGGGUCACUGGAACUGACGGUGGAGCGGUGAAAUGCGUAGAUAUCGUCAGGAACGCCGAUGGUGAAGACAGGUGACUGGGCCGGAUCUGACGCUGAGGCACGAAAGCGUGGGGAG